GAUGAACGCUGGCGGCGUGCUUAACACAUGCAAGUCGAACGGUGAAGGCGGAGCUUGCUCUGCUGGAUCAGUGGCGAACGGGUGAGUAACACGUGAGCAAUCUGCCCCUGACUCUGGGAUAAGCGCUGGAAACGGCGUCUAAUACUGGAUACGAGCUGCGCAGGCAUCUUCAGCAGCUGGAAAGAACUUCGGUCAGGGAUGAGCUCGCGGCCUAUCAGCUUGUUGGUGAGGUAACGGCUCACCAAGGCGUCGACGGGUAGCCGGCCUGAGAGGGUGACCGGCCACACUGGGACUGAGACACGGCCCAGACUCCUACGGGAGGCAGCAGUGGGGAAUAUUGCACAAUGGGCGAAAGCCUGAUGCAGCAACGCCGCGUGAGGGACGACGGCCUUCGGGUUGUAAACCUCUUUUAGCAGGGAAGAAGCGAAAGUGACGGUACCUGCAGAAAAAGCGCCGGCUAACUACGUG
rnacentral:rRNA from 1 species